UGUGACCGGGUCGGCGUCCCGAUCUCCUCCAUGCCCGCCGCUCCCGUGAUCGGGUCGUCCUCCGCCCCGUCUUCCUGUUCUUACACGCCGCUUAUGCAGUCCGACGUCCACGUAUCCGACUUACUAUGAUAACUCCCUAUUUUACUACGACAACUCCCCCCUUAUCGCUUGCGGCAGCUGAGGAUAUCGACAAAGGAGGGCAGCCACCUUUUUCUUCCACCACUGAUAUCACACGUGCAGACACGGGAGAGGCGUGGUUGGUUUCACCGCACCAGUCCGCCGCUCUCAGGAGCGCCCCUGCGCUCGGACUCUGGCCAUUUCCUGCGCGCAUCUCGCUUUGCUCUUCCUCGUUCAUGGCUUCGGCUGCCUCCACCCUUCCCCUCUGCGUGCCUGGCCUCAUAUGCUCCUCGAUCCCUCUGCUCUUCUCGUCUGUUCUAUAAACGAGUACAAACGAGAGAGAGAGAGAUCAUGACUUCAGCCGCCUCCACCCUUCGUUUCUGCGUGCCUGGCCUCAUAUGCUCCUGGAUCCCUGAGCUUUCCUCAUCUGUUCUAUAAACGAGUACAAACGAGAGAGAGCUUCCAGUUUUGACAACCCUUCUUGUUUGGGAGAUUGGGCAGUAUAAAAAACGGAUCUUUAUUUAUUUGAGGAAAGAAGAGGAGAGAAAGGGGAGUGGGGGUGUGGAAUGCUGGGGAGAUGGAGUUUUGGCCGGAGUUCUUGGCGAGCAGCUGGGGGAAGGAGUUCGUGGCGGGAGGGAUCGGCGGCAUGGCCGGUGUCAUCUCCGGCUACCCCCUCGACACGCUCCGCAUCCGCCUGCAGCAGCCGCCAGCUCCCUCCACCGCCGGCCCUCGCCGCCCGCCCUCCGCCCUGGGCCUCCUCCGAAGCAUCCUCGCGUCCGAGGGCCCCGCCGCGCUCUACCGCGGCAUGGCCGCUCCCCUCGCCUCCGUCACCUUCCAGAAUGCCAUGGUCUUUCAGGUGUAUGCAGUCUUAUCUCGAGCUUUUGAUUCCAAGAAUAUGAAUGAACCUCCUUCGUAUGGAAGUGUUGCAUUAAGCGGAUUUGGAACAGGUGCCUUGCAGAGUUUGAUAUUAAGCCCGGUUGAGCUUGUGAAAAUAAGGCUUCAACUACAGAUGAUUGGCAAUAAGGGUCGUCAACACGGUCGACUAGGACCGGUUAGCAUGGCCAAGGAGAUAAAAAAGAAAGAAGGGAUCCGGGGUUUAUACCGAGGCCUGUCGAUCACUGUCCUUCGAGAUGCACCUGCACAUGGAGUUUACUUCUGGACUUAUGAGUACGCACGAGAGCAGCUUCACCCAGGUUGCCGUAAGACUGGCCAAGAAAGCCUCGGAACAAUGCUCAUUGCUGGAGGAUUGGCAGGAGUAGCUAGUUGGAUCUGUUGCUACCCGCUAGAUGUGGUGAAAUCCAGACUCCAGGCGCAAUCGAAGCCUCGGGCCGGUCAGCUGCCUCCAAAAUACCUCGGAAUUGUCGAUUGCAUUCGCAAGAGUGUAGAGGAAGAGGGUGUUGCUGUGCUGUUCCGUGGACUGGGAACCGCUGUUACCCGGGCCUUUGUUGUCAAUGGAGCCAUCUUCUCUGCUUAUGAGUUAGCUCUUAGGUCCUUGUUCAAUAACAACUAAAGAUUUACAACAUAACUUGUUAAAUGGGGAUACACUAAACUGAAGUAGAAUGUGGCACAGCCAUAUCCAAACAGAGUGCUGCACAAAGUUUCUCUCACGGCCUUCAGUUGUGGCUUCAGAAGUUAUCUUUGCUGAUGCUGAAGCAGAUGGAUUUGAUGCUGAAGCCUCCCUCCGUUGAAGUUUCCUCUUUGACAAAGACAUUUUGGACCUCCUGAAAUCUCUAUAUAUGAUAAAGAAAUCAACAAGACACUCACUCGAGUUCCAUCAAGCAUCAUUUAUUUUUUAUCGUGUUGAUUGAGACAGCAACCAAAUACAUCUCUGUCUUUUCUAAUAUGAACAGAUUCUUUGCUUAGAAGCCUCUUUGUACUAAUCCAGACUUUACACAUGAU